rnacentral:lncRNA from 1 species
UUGUCAACUCGGUGAACUUUCUCGAGAGAGCACCGGGCAGCUUCUCUCGCCUCUCUCCUUCCCCCUUGUCUCUCACUGGCCUCUGGGUCGCUUCCAAAAGGUUGCUUCCUUCGAGUUUUCCCUGUUAAGCUUCACCUUGGCGUGGUCCAUACGGAAGGCAGAAUCAACCCCACUCACAGAUUCCCAAAGGGUCGAGUUUGGACAGUACUCCAGAGCAACGUUUUUGCUUUUGCUUUUUUUUUUCUUCAACUCCUACCCAGUGGUUGAUCUAUCAACAUCCUGCAACUUUGGAAAUUUCACUUUAUGAUUCACGAGUACCUGGAAUCUGCAGAGGAUUUUCGCUGUUAGGAGGAAAGGUAACUGCUUCUCCACUUGAUGCCAUUUCCACUUACAAACGGUUUCAGGGGACCGCUCUGCUUUCGGACACUGAGGAAAACGCCGUGCCGUCUCGGUCUCAACCGCCGUCUCUCCUCCAAUAGGGAAGUCACUGUCUUCUGAUGAAGCCACGUUGACUUGCAGGUCUUGGAUGAUUCAAAAAAAAAGAUCUUUCCAUCUCUGGACUUCCAGCUAGGCCUAAACAGAAAACAUGACCUUUUCAGAAAAGACGUUUAUUCAAGGUUUAAACCCAGUGGGUGGGCAUCAACAGAAUCAGGUGUGCUAACAGCAAGCCCUGCGUCUGGAGAGGAUACCAGCCCUGCAAAUAAAGGAAGAACCCAGAAGACCAGAUCCGAAUCUCGAAGAGCCCUCGAGGAGCCAUGCUCCCAUCACUCCCUGCCGUCUCCGCUGCCUUCUUAGGAGUUUGAAUUACGAGGUUAAGUACUUGAAUCAACCAUACUUUUCAAUGAUCUUCCAGUGGAAACCCUUCUGGACCGAAUACCGCCAAAGGGAGCCUCUGUGCCUGGGUUGGUGGUGAAGGGUCAUGGAGUUGCCGUUUUUAGACACCCAGAGUCAGCUUCCCAAGUCCACGGGGCACCCCAUGCUUUGCUUCUUGUUGCCUUUCCAGUUGGGUGCUUCCCUGAAGGAUACCUAGUAGCUUGCACCUGACCUGAAUACCAGUCACAGCAGCCUCCUCAGCUAGAGCCGUUCUUAACGUAUCCAUCCGUCCAACACAUAUUUCCUGAGCUCCUACUGUGUGCGGUGCUGCAGCGAUGCGGUCAACAACAGUCCUGUCCCUGCUUUCAGGACAUUCACAGUGCAGUAGAGGGGAAAAGACAGUGUUUAAAGGACCAGGGAUGAAAUUCAAAUUGAUGCAGAUUGAAUUCCCCUCGGAAAACUUCCCUCUGGCUCCAGAGAAUGGACUAGGGGCUGGGGGAGGGGCGCCACUCUCUGCCACCUGCUACCAUUCUGUGUGACACCGCUAGCACUCAGUCACCCUCUUUUUUAAUUUCCUGCAAGCACCGCACACACGUGCCCUGAAAGGCCUGCGUUUGUUUUCUUUUCCCCCCGGUGGCCAGUCUGCCUUUACAACACACAAUGGAAGCUUCAUGUAGGGAGGCACUUCCUCCAGUUUGCAGAAUUCCUGGAACCAAGAGGGAGCCCUGUCUUCUUUGUUGAGCCCAUGAGGGACUUGUCCCUUAAACUCCAGUAAGGCAGGAAUGCUAGAAGCACCUGAGAGAAGGCACGUGGGAAUUCCGAGAGGCAGUGGGAGGCCCCUGUACCUGGUGGGAAAGCCCUGCUGGCCUGAGCUGUUGUCACUCAAGGGGCUCCGGUCUGCUCCCUAGGAAUCCCUGGGGGAUUUGGAAAGAAGACCUUUCUUUGUUGUCGUAAUUUAAUUGCUGGUUAGCACUUCCAUCCAAGUUCAGCGAUAACUUCUGGAAUUUGCACCUGAAGAACUUUUUUCUUCUUUCAUGCUCCACUCCUACCCCCCCCCCCCACUGCUCUCUUCCCAGAAAUGGGUGCCUGGCCGAAAACCCAUGUACUUAGCAGUUGGCUGUGGCAGCACAUGAGUAAUCUCCCACCUUCAUCAAGGAAGAAAGAAAUGGAAAACUUGAUCCCCAGGUGGCUUCGCAGGAACUGGAAAAAAAAAAAAAAAAAAAAAAAA